UGGUCAAGUUAUUAAGGGUGCAGGGCGGAUGCCUUGGCACUAGGAGCCGAUGAAGGACGUGAUAAGCUGCGAUAAGCUUCGGGGAGUUGCACGUAAACUUUGAUCCGAAGAUUUCCGAAUGAGGAAACUCACUUAGAGUAAUGUCUAAGUAUCAUUAAGUGAAUACAUAGCUUAAUGAGGGGAACUCAGGGAACUGAAACAUCUAAGUACCUGAAGGAAGAGAAAGAAAUUCGAUUCCGUAAGUAGCGGCGAGCGAACGCGGAUUAGCCCAAACCAAUAAAGUUUUCUUUAUUGGGGUUGCGGACAUAUCAUAACGAAGAGGUAUCGUAAUUGAAGAGGUUUGGAAAGACCCACCACAGAAGGUAAUAGUCCUGUAUGUUAAACGAGAAGACUUCAGAUAUGAUCCAGAGUACCACGGGACACGUGAAACCCUGUGGGAAGCAGGAGGGACCACCCUCCAAGGCUAAAUACUACCUAGUGACCGAUAGCGUAUAGUACCGUGAGGGAAAGGUGAAAAGAACCCCGGGAGGGGAGUGAAAUAGAACCUGAAACCCUGCACUUACAAGCUGUGGAAGCACAUUUCUUGUGUGACCGCGUACUUUUUGUAGAACGGGCCAACGAGUUACGUUAAGUAGCAAGGUUAAGCACUUAAGGUGCGGAGCCGUAGCGAAAGCGAGUUUUAACUGAGCGUUCAGUUAUUGACGUAGACCCGAAACCGGGCGACCUACCCAUGAGCAGGAUGAAGCGAAAGUAAAAUUUCGUGGAGGUCCGAACCCACGAGCGUUGAAAAGCUCGGGGAUGACUUGUGGGUAGCGGUGAAAUUCCAAUCGAGCCCGGAGAUAGCUGGUUCUCCCCGAAAUAGCUUUAGGGCUAGCCUCAAGGUGAGAGAUACGGAGGUAGAGCACUGAAUGUCCUAGGGGGUAUUGCACCUACCGAAGACUAUUAAACUCCGAAUGCCGUCAUCUUAUACUUGGGAGUCAGACUGUGGGUGAUAAGAUUCAUAGUCGAAAGGGCAACAGCCCAGAUCGUCAGCUAAGGUCCCUAAAUGUAAGUUAAGUGGUAAAGGAUGUGGGAUUGCACAGACAACCAGGAUGUUGGCUUAGAAGCAGCCACUCAUUCAAAGAGUGCGUAAUAGCUCACUGGUCGAGUGAUCCUGCGCCGAAGAUUUCCGGGGCUAAAACUUACUACCGAAGCUACGGCAUCAGUAAUGAUGGGUAGGGGAGCUUCCCAUACGGGUUGAAGCAUGACCGUAAGGACAUGUGGACAGUAUGGGAGUGAGAAUGUUGGCAUGAGUAGCGAGAUGUGGGUGAGAAUCCCACAGGCCGUAAACCCAAGGUUUCCAGGGGAAGGUUCGUCCGCCCUGGGUUAGUCGGGACCUAAGCUGAGGCCGAAAGGCGUAGGUGAUGGACAACAGGUUGAUAUUCCUGUACUACCGAUAACCGUUUGAGAGAAGGGAUGACACAGUAGGAUAAGCUAAGCACACUGUUGGUUAUGUGUGCCCAAGCAUUGAGGCAGUCAAAGUAGGCAAAUCCGCUUUGAUAAUGCUGGGAUGUGAUGGGGAGCGAAAUUUAGUAGCGAAGUAGCUGAUUUCACACUGUCAAGAAAAGUCUCUAUCGAGGUUAAAGGUACCCGUACCGCAAACCGACACAGGUGGGUGAGGAGAGUAUCCUAAGGCCAGCGAGAGAACUGUUGUUAAGGAACUCGGCAAAAUGACCCCGUAACUUAGGGAUAAGGGGUGCCACCAUCAGGUGGCCGCAGAGAAUAGGCCCAAGCGACUGUUUACCAAAAACAUAGGUUUCUGCUAAGUCGCAAGACGAUGUAUAGGAGCUGACGCCUGCCCGGUGCUGGAAGGUUAAGGGGAUCUGUUAGAGCAAUCGAAGCAGUGAACUUAAGCCCCAGUAAACGGCGGCCGUAACUAUAACGGUCCUAAGGUAGCGAAAUUCCUUGUCGGGUAAGUUCCGACCCGCACGAAAGGCGUAACGAUUUGGGCACUGUCUCAACAACAGACUCGGUGAAAUUGUAAUUCCGGUGAAGAUGCCGGAUACCUGCGACAGGACGGAAAGACCCCAUGGAGCUUUACUGUAGCUUGACAUUGGGUUUUGGUACUACAUGUACAGGAUAGGUGGGAGGCUUUGAAACCAGGACGCCAGUUUUGGCGGAGCCAUCCUUGGGAUACCACCCUUGUAGUACUGGGACUCUAACCAUAGGCCAUGAAUCUGGUCUUGGGACACUGUCAGGCGGGCAGUUUGACUGGGGCGGUCGCCUCCCAAAAGGUAACGGAGGCGCUCAAAGGUUCUCUCAGUACGGUCGGAAAUCGUACGUAGAGUGUAAAGGCAAAAGAGAGCUUGAUUGCAAGACAUACAGGUCGAGCAAGGAUGAAAAUCGGACUUAGUGAUCCGGUGGUUCUGCGUGGAAGGGCCAUCGCUCAACGGAUAAAAGCUACCCUGGGGAUAACAGGCUUAUCUCCCCCAAGAGUCCACAUCGACGGGGAGGUUUGGCACCUCGAUGUCGGCUCAUCACAUCCUGGGGCUGUAGUAGGUCCCAAGGGUUGGGCUGUUCGCCCAUUAAAGUGGUACGCGAGCUGGGUUCAGAACGUCGUGAGACAGUUCGGUCCCUAUCCGUCGCAGGCGUAGGAAAUUUGAGAAGACCUGUCCUUAGUACGAGAGGACCGGGAUGGACGUACCUCUGGUGUACCAGUUGUCCUGCCAAGGGCAUGGCUGGGUAGCUAUGUACGGAAUGGAUAAGCGCUGAAAGCAUCUAAGCGCGAAGCCAACUUCAAGAUAAGAUUUCCCACCGCAAGGGUAAGACCCCAGAAAGACUAUCUGGUUGAUAGGUCGAAGGUGUAAGUGCAGCAAUGUAUUUAGCUUAUCGAUACUAAUAGGUCGAGGACUUGACCAAU
rnacentral:rRNA from 1 species